CAAAGAUCGGAAACCCCUGCCCCUACACCUUUCAAGAACUGCUUGUGUCUGUAACCCUUAGCAGGCUCUGACCUAGUCAGGCUAGAAGAAGCAUAAGGAUCUUUUAUUGCUUUGUGCUGGGUGAGGGCUGGCCCUAAACAUCUGCCUAAUCCUUUCAACGGGCCCAGGAAAAGCCAGACUGGCAUCAUGUCCACAGCAUCGCUUAAUAUCGUUGGUUGUCAUCCAGACACCUCAACUUGUGCUGCAGAGGAAAUAAGUUCCUUCUCACGGAUCAUCAUGAUGGAUAUUGAAACCUCAGGGUGCAGAACUAACACCUGUUCAUCAUCGUGGAUGUUAAAGAAUUGGGUAACAUGCCAAGCGGUAAGCCUUGGAUGGGCCAUGAGAAUAUCCUCUAAAAAGCACGCAGUAUUGUGCCCCUCUCACAACCAACACACACAUGACCUGUCCCCUGGCACCCCCAAAUUUAAGAGUGGAUUGCAAAUCUUUUGGAGACCAUGGCCCUGCUACAUGUAGAAAAACCUGUUCUGCUAUUCCUGGGCCCACAAUAAACCCAGAAAUUAUGUUUUGAGUUACUGUGAUUUAAACUCCCUCUCUUCUUAAAUGGAACAGCUCAUUGGGGCUUUCUGGAUCUGUUUCCAUUUUUCUUUAAAAAUAAAUUGUGAGCAUGCAUUGUGGUGAUGCAGAGGCAGGCAUUCUGUGAGAUACAAGCUCCAGAAGGAUUCUCCUCAAUGUGUCAGUGUUGGGAUGCACACUUCCUAAAUAAAUCAUCAUUGUCUCCGUCUUCUCCAUUAAUAGCGCUCUUUCAGUGUGACAUGGAAAAGCAGGAUGGCAUACACCCCACUGAAGGAUGUAGGCGGAGGCAGAUCUCUCAACCAGGCAUAUUGCUUCUGUACUGCUCUUCUUUUGCUCUAAGGUAUGGGUUCCCUCAACCUCUUAGCUAGAGACCAGCAAAUGUCAGGGAAGCACCCGGUGUCUGGCUCCCCUUCCAAAUCAACACCAGUGUCUUGUUACAGACAAGAAGUCAGAGGAAAGGGCGGGGUCCCAGCAGGGCAGAAGCCUAAGCUACUAUGAGGCACUCACAAGUGGCAGCUCCUGUUACUCCCUCUUAAAUUAUGUGGGAAAUCUUAACGGAAGGGCAAUGGGCCCCAGGAAUACCUGCAGCGUAGUGACCUCAGAUCCUGAUACUCACCAUGAAACUCUAAGAUACUGAUUGGAAGCGACUUGUGGCUGCUGGCUGUGUGUGUGACUCUGCCGGGGACCCUGGCAGCCCCCCUGUAGCUGUCUUGAUGCCUCUCUGUCACCCACAUCAUCUGCCUACUUAACGCCCAGCUCUGCUCAGAAAACGUUAUGUCCUGUGUCGAGGAGAGACGACGCAAAAUUCUGAAGUCCAUUUCCCUCUGGCUCCUGGCAUACCCUCGCUCCUUUUCUGAGCCCAGCUCGUGGUGUGCCAGAGCCUGUGUGGUCCCCUGACUUCUGCACAGUGUAGAACUUUCUCCAAUAGUCACAAUGGCAAAGGGAGAACUGGGGGGCUGGCAGGUAAUUAGAAUUUCUCUCCCUCUCUCUUUUAAUACUUUCAUUUUGAAUGUCUU
rnacentral:lncRNA from 1 species